rnacentral:rRNA from 1 species
CCUACGGUAGGCAGCAGUGAGGAAUAUUGGUCAAUGGGCGCAAGCCUGAACCAGCCAAGUCGCGUGAGGGAAGACGGCCCUACGGAUUGUAAACCUCUUUUGCCCGGGAGUAACACACGCCACGCGUGGCGUUCUGCGAGUACCCUACGAAUAAGCAUCGGCUAAUUCCGUGCCAGCAGCCGCGGUAAUACGGAGGGUGCGAGCGUCAUCCGGAUUUAUUGGGCUUAAAGGGUGCGCAGGCGGACGUUCAAGUCAGCGGUAAAAUGGAGAGGCUCAACCGCUCCGCGCAGUUGAAACUGGUUGGCUUGAGUGAGUAAGAGGUAGGCGGAAUGCGUGGUGUAGCGGUGAAAUGCAUAGAUAGCACGAAGAACCCCGAUUGCGAAGGCAGCCUGCCGGGGCGCGACUGACGCUGAGGCUCGAAGGUGUGGGUAUCGAACAGGAUUAGAUACCCGGGUAGUC